GACGGUGGCGGCGAUGCCGUAACCCGUCACGCUUUCGAAGUUUUCGAUGGUCGCAGGUUCGAGUCCUGCAGGGGUCCCCA
rnacentral:tRNA from 1 species